AUGAGCAAAGCACUUAACCCACGGUACCAGGGCCUCUCAACCUAUGAAAAGGAGUACCUGCCAAUAAUUGUUGCAGUUGACCAGUGGCGACCAUAUCUCCAGGAUGAUGAAUUCAUCAUCUCAACGGAUCAACGCAUCCUGGUUCAUCUUAACGAGCAGUGCCUCACGACCCCAUGGCAGAAGAAGGCUUUUACCAAACUCUUGGGGCUGCGGUUCUCAAUUCAUUACAAGAAGAGGAGCGACAACACUGCAGCCGAUGCACUGUCAAGGGCCCACACCUCUGAGAUCCUGCACACAGUCAGCUCCUGUCAGCCUGCCUGGCUUGAGGACAUCAUCACUAGCUAUAACAUCAAUCCUCAAGCACAGCGCCUCCUCGAGCAGCUCGCGAUCCGCGAGGAUCCUAAGGUCCGGUUCACUUUGAAGCAAGGAAUCCUACAUUUUCGAGAUAUAAUAUGGCUCGGAGGAUCGACAGAGAUGCAACAACACAUCAUUUCAGCCUUCCACGAUAGUGCCAUGGGGGGGCACUCAGGCUUUCCGGUGACCUACCGCCGCAUCAGAAGGCUAUUCGCUUGGCCGAAGAUGAAAGCUCAUGUCUUACAGUAUGUGCGCUGCUGCGAGGUUUGUCAGCAAGCAAAACUUGACUGUAGCGCAUCUACAGGCCUGCUUAUGCCACUUCCUAUACCUCACGAGUCAUGGGACCUGAUCACGAUGGACUCUGUGGAUGGCUUACCACAAUCAGGACAGUUCAAUUGCCUCCUGGUGGUAGUGGAUAAACGCACCAGGUUUUCUCAUUUUCUGCCCCUGGCGCACCCUUACAGCGUAGCAAAGGUGGCUUUGCUUUACAUGCAGCAGCUCUACAAACUGCGCGGGUUCCCUGGUGCCAUUAUUUUCGAGCGUGAUCCAGUUUUCACCAGCCAUUUUUGGCAAGAGUUGUUCAAAUAUGCAGGUACGGAGCUACGCUUGAGCACGACAAAUCACCCGCAGACAUACGGCCAAACUGAGAGGGUGAAUCAGUGCAUCGAGACAUACUUGCGAUGUUUCGUCCAGACGUUUCCCAAAUGCUGGAGCUUCUGGAUACCACUGGCGCAGUUCUGGUACAACACCUCGCACCACUCGGCAAUCGGCAUGACUCCUUUCAAGUCCAUGUUUGGACGGGAACCAAGGCACUAG
rnacentral:rRNA from 1 species